UGAUGCCUGUAUGACGGUUGUACUUUAAGGUUUAGUUUCAACAAGACUCACUUAAUUUUUAAUUUAAGUGAAAAUACUUAAAUAACCUAAGGGGACGAUAAGACCCUAAAAUUUUUACUUUGACGGACUUAAUGUAAUAAUGGUUAAGGUUUCAGGUCGAAAAAAUUUAACCGGGGCAGUGGCUUUGAUUAACCCAAGGUUCAUGUUAGCAUAAAUGGUUGCAAGGUCCUCUCUAUAGAGACAAAUAGAAUUAAUUACUUUAGGGGUAACAGCGUAAUCUUUCCGUUGAGGCCAUAUCUAUGGAAAGGAUUGCGACCUCGAUGUUGAAUUAUAAGAACUUUACGCAGCAGCAGGCGAUAGAGAGGGUUUGUUCAACCCUUAAAAUUUUACAUGAUUU
rnacentral:rRNA from 1 species